GAUGUUUGGUGCUUGAGGAGUUUCUUGGUGGAGCUUCCUGCUUGGGCUUCUCUUGAUACUGUUCCUCUUCCUUGUCCUGCUCUUGAUGGUUGCCUUUCUGGAUAUUAGGACUGCAGCAUUCUUGCUAGGGGAAGGACUGGGACUUCUGAACUGAAAACCUGGAGUCUAUUACUUUAGAACAUCCAAUUUCUCGGAAGAUCUCUGGCUGUUUUUUCUGGGGGGUAGGGUUGUUGUGUGUGUUUUUUUUAAUUAUUGUAAAUUACAAGAGAGUUUAGCUGCACUUAGACAAGAAUAUUUAAGCAGAGUCUCUGUUUCCCUCUUUCUUGCAGAGUAUCACUGGCACAUGUAGUUUGACCAAGGAAUUAUGUUUCUAGAAAAUUGCUGUUGUGUUGUAGGCAAAAAAGAAGCCCCAGAAUGUUUGAUUUUAAAUACAUGUAUUGUUUUGGUUCUUAGAAAAAAGAACUGUGUGUGUAUACAUAUAUUCUCAGUUUCUAAGAGAGCUACCUUUCAUAAAAGCUAACAAUAUGUCUUUUCUGUUAACCAAGCACAGUUUUACCAUAUGAAAUUCACUUUUCCCCAUUUCCUCAUUCCCUUCAUGACCAUUACAAAAAAAAUUAUCGUAAUUCAAUACAUUUUUCUUUAGUGUGAACUGUGUUGUGUUAUUGUAAGAUGUUAUUAAUUUUAUUCUUGUGUCAGAGUUUGCUCAAACUCUUUUCAACUCUAUGGGCAUCUUUAAGCUGAUUUCUGUGUGAAUUAGAUCAGACCUCUAAUCUUUGAAAGACUACUACUGUAUUAUAGCUAAGAUAGGUUCCUCUUAAGCAUUUGUUACAUAGUAAAUGAGACAAGUUUAAUCAAAGAUAUAUCUUUUGUUGAUUUACAUAACAGUUCCUAUGAGUUUUCCUUCUGAAUUGAGUCUGAAUUCAAUGCCUGAAGCCAAGCUUAAAACGUGGCAGAAGUAGGAACCUUAAAAAGAUUUUUAAAAAAGCUGGAUAUGCCCUUGGAUCAUAAAUAACUAACACUUCUACAGUGACUUCUAACGCCUCACAAUAUGAUGUUUCUUCUUGAGGUGAAAAGUAAAUGUCUGCUGGCCUUUAAUGUCACAUAUUCUUGCUACCAUAGAGAAAAACCUCCUGUAUGUGAAGGCUGAGGAAUAAGCAAAUGUAUUUCCCCAGUGUAUUUUUGAGACUCCAGAAGGUGUACAAGCCUAGGUUCUCAUUGCUGCUGCUGCAGAGUGUGCAGAGCUCUUGGAGGGUUCUACCUUGUCUGUUCAUCCUCUAUGGUUGCCCCAGAUGCUAAAAAGUUCAAGGAGCACUCCUUAUCUGUUUUUAGGCAAGUCAGCUGCUCCAUACAUGUUUUUAUUUUUCCUCUUUUCAGUUUCAGAAAAAGAAUUGGCUUUUAAGCAUCACGAAGACAAAUAUUUUGAGGUUUGUAACCUGAAUCAAUGCAUGAAAAGAAGCAUUUUAAAUGUGUCUAACACAUUUGAAUGGCUCUGCAGAGAUACUGGAUUAAUUGCAGCAGAUUUAAUCCCUACUCUCCUUGGAUUUUGAAUCAUUCCUUUGGGUUAGGUCAGCCCAACAGUAUUUUGAAAUAGUAUGCUGUGGAAUGCUUACAUGGCCUCAUCUGAAAAUAGCCACACUUUUUCUACGUAGAAACACAUUCAAAAACAUAGUUUCUAUAAUACAGAAAUCCAGUGUAACACAGAGCAUUAGAAGAUUGUGUUAGUGUUCCCUCCAAAGUUAAAGAAUCAUAGGUAUCCCACCCAUACUAGUAGUAGAAGUCAUUAAACAUCUAUCCUUGUUGAAUGAGGAAUCCAAUUAGACAUCUUUUCUUGCAGGGGAUAGAUCUGUAGCAGUUGUUUCAUGACAGAAAAAGUAAAUAAGAGUUUGAAAUUGCUGAAGUUACUGGAAUGCUAAUAAAUGGCAAUUACAGGCUGACUGAUGCUUGAAUACUGCCUUGCAUCCAAGCAAAAUUUUGGGACAUAUUUGAGUUAAUCAUGAUGAGCCAUUAUAUGUUGGGCAGAUUUUUUUGGCAUGAAUAAAUCGUGUAAAGAGCACUAUUAGAAAGAAAUGUCAUCUGUGUUGCCGUGUGGCCAGCCUGAGCACUGUAGGAACCUUUGGACAAGGGCAGAGUACAGAGGAAUAAGCUAAUAAAAAUUCAGAUACAAGUGUUAGUUAAUACUGGUCAAAAGGUGACACAGCUCUAAACUUGAAUUCAUGUUUUAAAAACUAUGCUAAACAUUUUUCUGUAAGGCUGCAGCACUGAACAGGUUAGCAGUCAAGCUCUCAGCUUUUUGGCUUCUCCUCUAGAUGCUCUUUAGCUCCUGUAGUCAGUCGUGCCUUCAAAGCUUUCUGAAAGGUGUAGUCUAGUUUAAUGCUGCUUGGUUGUUGUUUGUUUUCCCAGACUCCUCUGAUUUCAUCUUUCAGGGUGGAAAAAAAAAGUAAAAGAACCUCCUUUAAUUCCUGUAAGAACUAUCUUAAAAGAGACUGCUUCCCUAUGCACUGGCAGUUGUCUCUUUCAUGUGACUAAUUGGUAAGCAAUCUUUUGUCUACUAAAAGAAUGAAGUGCCCCUCUCUUUGAUGAAUGCUUACCAUUACCCAGGAAGCAGUAUCUUUCAGUCUUAUCUUACAUUGUGACUACAAUAGAUUUUACAUUUAAAAUGUGAUACAAACAUCUAAAUAAUUUAGCUUUCUGUUGUGUGUAAUUGACUCUUGACUUGGAGUAGGUACAGCAGCAAUCCAUUGCUAUAGAGUAAUAAAAUGUUAAAAGGUUUCUUCAA